GGCCUGGUGGUGUAGUGGUUACACGUCCUCUGUAUUUGAGAGAAGAUAAAUGCCUUUGAGGAAGAUCCCUGUUCGACUCGGGGUUAGGCUU